UCUUGUUUUACGAACUCGUUGAUCCGCCAACGUCCUGUCUCAAUUUGUUGCGUGUUGUUCUUUCUCGUUGCAAUCCGGCUACUAGAGUCGAUCGCCGCACACCGCCCAAAUCCCUAGGGUUUAUGAUGGUGCCCUAGAGCGAACCAAAGAGAGAGAAAUUUUGUGGAGAGAUGAUUAUUAUUUUUUUCCGUUGUCUUGUAUGUGGUCAAUACCUCAUGUAUUUAUAGACCAUCAGGGAGAUAUUAAUCCUAAUCAUAUUCUAACUAAAUCUCACAUUGAUAGAGAUUUAAACAGAUUAGGAUUUAUCCGUUAGAUUUAUUUCUUAUCCCAAGUGGACUAGGAAUAUAACAGAUAAUUAUAAAUAUUUAUUUCUUAUCCCAUAUGGAUUAGAAAUAUUUUAGAUAAGUCCCAAUGUGGACGAAUCCUAACAUCUCCUACUCGUACACACUUGGCACUUAUUCAUACUUUCUCAUCCCUAAUAUAUUCUCAUCUCGUUUUGCUCUUCAUACGGAAAAUGGUUGGUGCGAUCAAUAACGAGAAGAAUCAUAAGUGAGGAGUGUUAUAUUAAGCCACCAUCCGAACUAACAUAACACUACAACUCCAAAUCUCGUCUAUACCCCAAAUCACUGAACUACACCAGAUCAUAGCAUCUCUGAUCCCUUAGAGCAAACUAGAUCUCUCUCAUUAAUGUAUUUGUUCUCAUGAUUAUAUUGACAACAAAUAUCAACAUAAUCGCCCGGGCAAUGAGUAACAAAUCAUAGGUGUAUUAUCAAAUGAUUUUUCCUUAGAUGCCUCAUGUCAAUCCAUUUCAACUUGACUGCUUUCCUAGACAUGUUCCGCUGGACCGAAUCAAUCAUGGCCCUUGGAUAUCAUGCUAAAGUAGCAUCACCAAGUAUCCACUUCAUAACAUGGUUCUAAGUCCCAAAGGGUACGAAAGCUCACACAGCGACGAAACGGGAAUCAAUUUCGUCACUCUCUAAAACAUAGUGAUCGAUCUUGCACAUACGGUAUGAACGUAUGCUAUGGUGGAGCUACCUCUAAGGACAUGUCACGCUCAAAACACCAUACGAAUGUCGGUUUUGUUGUAACUCAAGACAACAAACCUCAAGACAGUCACCCACAUGGUGUCUUCUUUACAUUCGGCUUCAUACAGGCCAAGUAGAGUCGUGGACCAUCUCUACUGUCGACUUCGUACAGUCUCAUCUUAGCUCAUCUAAGGCGACAUUCAAGAUUUAAACACUCGCCAGCUCUUAUAGCGCAAAGUGGAUCACCUGCAUUACUAACUGCAUUUAUGUGAUCUUAUUUGUCUCAUCCUGCUCGCUCUCCUAGCGACAGGGCGAUCACCCGUGUGAGAGGGCUGAUCAAGGGCCUGGUGACAUUCAUUCUCACAAGGAUAUUGUGCACUAAUUUAAAAUUUAAUAAAC
rnacentral:lncRNA from 1 species